ACUUACUAGCCAUGUGAACUUGGGCAAGUGACCUAAUCCUCUGCAUUUCAUCUCUAAAUUGGGGAGAAUAGAAGCAUCUACUUCAUGUAGUAGCCAGGAUUAGAAGAGAUGGGGCCACUUGAGGGAAAAGACCUACCCAAGGGCACAUAAUCUGUACAUGAGAGAGAGCCAGAUGUAACAGACUGAGUACUGGACUUGGGGUUAAACAGACUGUGAAUCUUUCCACCCCAUUGGGAGGAAUAACUGGGCCCUGGAUAGAAUGUGAUGAAUGUAUAUUCUUAAUGAGAAGUGGAAAUAAUUUGUGGUUGAGAGCUGUGCCUCAGAUCAGAGUGACAGGAUACAUGGCUAGGCUAUAUUUUCCAGCAGAUUAAGAGCUGCGGCCCAAGACUCUGAAAUAUGAAGAAAAAAGGAGAAGAUGACAGCAUAUCUUUUUAAAGAAAUAUUUUCCAGCCAAAUGGUGUAGCAGAGGACUUCCAGGAAUUUGUUCUUGUUCUGUAUCAAAGGUGAAGAGUUCGUAGCCUUCAAGGAAACAAGAAACCAUGGGAUGGAGUGAAGGAAGGUGGCCUGGAACCAGCUGCUGAGCCUCUCUGAGCCCCAGUUUCCUCGUCUCUAAAAUGGGGCUGAUCUCCUCUCCCUCAGACUGUUGUUGCAGGAAUUAAAACAGGUGUUGAGUGGGAAAGCAUCAGUCCCAUAGCAAAUGGCCCCUGAGUAGUAGGAUCUGAGUUCUGGUUCUGGUCCUGCUGGGGUAUGGCUGGUUGAGAGGUCAAAGAGGUAAUUAAAGGGAUUGCCAGCUUCAUUAUUGGGAGCUGAGAUUCCAUUUUAGACCAAGAGUGUGACCAAGGUGGUAACCUUAACAUUUCAUUUCUUCAUAUUUAUUUAUUGAGCCGAUAUUUUUCAAG
rnacentral:lncRNA from 1 species